rnacentral:rRNA from 1 species
UACGGAGGGUGCGAGCGUUGUCCGGAAUCACUGGGCGUAAAGGGCGCGUAGGCGGCCUGAUAAGUAGGGGGUGAAAUCCUGCGGCUUAACCGCAGGGCUGCCUUCUAAACUGUCAGGCUAGAGCACAGUAGAGGCAGGUGGAAUUCCCGGUGUAGCGGUGAAAUGCUUAGAUAUGACAUAGAACACCAAUUGCGAAGGCAGCUUACUACACAGUUAUUGACGCUGAGGCACGAAAGCGUGGGGAUCAAACAGG